ensembl:lncRNA
AAGGAACCUGUUUUUAGAAGGUUUAAAGCAUCUCGUGCCUCUCACGGUUGAGAGGCUGUGAGCAAUCACAUGUGGCCGGACAAGCGUGUCAGGCAGGCUAGAGAACCUUCAGAGGAGUUUGUAGGUUGAAACACUCCUAUCACGCCCAGGAAUUAUUAUUAACUGGAGCUCUAAGUUAAUUCCUUCUCCAAAAGAGGUGGUGGGGGACAGCCCCCCGUAAAGUCAGAGGUGUAGGUGAGAGCACAAAGUAGUAAAGUAGGCAGGUUCUGGUUAUGGGGGUAGAUGCUCAAGGAUUUCCAGGGGGACUCCUGAGGCUCGAUCCCGCCUUUGCGUAUGUCGAGCCUCCUUCCUCAUGACCUUUGUCACGGGCGGAGUACCUCACUCUGGCCCCCAACACCUAUGGGUGGAGGAGCUUUGUGGGCUACAGUCCAUGGGGUUGCAAAGAGUCGGUCAUGUCUUAGCGAUUAAACCACCACCAACCAUAGUUGCUUAAAGCCAUAUGUUUGUGGGGAUGUUAUACAGUAAGAGAGUGUGUGUGUGUGUAUGCGUGUGUGUUAGUUGCUCAGUUGUGUCUGACUCUUCGUGACCCUAUGGACUAUAGCUCCUUAGGCUUCUCUGUCCAUGGAAUUCUCCAGGAAGAUCCCUGGAGAAGGGAAUGGCAAGGGUCUUUCCAGUGAGUGGCCUCUUCGCAAAGAACUGGAGCUUCAGUUUCAGCACCCGUCCUUCCAGUGAAUAUUCAGGGUUGAUUUCUUUUAAGACUGACUGGUUUGAUCUCCUUGUUGUCCUAGGGACUCUGAAGAGUCUUUUCUCCAGCACCACAAUUCGAAAGCAUCAGUUCUUCAGUGCUUAGCCUUCUUUAUGGUCCUCCUCUCAACCCACAGUAACUGAACCAUCUUCAGUCCUACCAGCUAUCCUCCAAGAUGCCCUUCAGAGGUGAAUGGAUAAAUUCCAGUCCAUUCAGACAGUGGAAUAUUAUUCAGCAAGCACUAAGCAAAAAUGAACUCUUAAGCCAUAGAGCAACAUGGAAGAAACUUCAAUGCAAAUGACUAAGAGAAAGAAGCCAAUCUGCAAGGGCUCCACGCUGUACAGUUUCAACUAUGUGACAUUCCGGAAAAGGUAAAAUUAUGGAGACAGUAAAAAUUUCAGUGGUUGCCAGAGGAUGAGGGGAGGGAGGGAUGAACAGGCAGAGUACAGAGGAUUUUAGGGCAAUAAAAUUGUUCUGUAAGACACUAUAAUGAUGUGCAUGCGUGCUUAGUAGCUCAGUCACGUCUGAAUCUUUGCAACCCCUGGACUGAUAGCCGGCCAGGCUCCUCUGUCCAUAGGGAUUCCCCAGUGAAGAAUACUGGAGUGGGUAGUGCUUCUCCAGGGGAUCUUCCUGACCCAGGGAUCGAACCCUUGUCUCUUAGUCUCCUGCAGUGACAGGCGGGUUCUCUACCACUAGCACCAUGGACUCUAGUUCAUAAUGAUAGGUACAGGUGGUACUCAUUUGUCCAAACCCAUAAAAGGGACAACACCCAGAGUGAACCCUAACGUGAAUGAUGGACUCCGAGUGAUAAUGAUGUGUCAGUGUAAGUUCAUCGGCUGUGGCAAACGUCCUGCUCUGGGCAGGGGUGUUGAUAAGGGGGGAGGCUAAGCAUGUGUGAAAGCAGAGGGGUAAAUGGGAAAUCUAAACAUUCUGUUCAGUUUUCUGUGAACUUAUGACUGCUCUUAAGAAAUAAAG